AACGCGAAGAACCUUACCUGGAUUUGACAUCCUACGAAUAUUACAGAGAUGUAAUAGGCUCGCAAGAGACGUAGAGACAGGUGCUGCAUGGCUGUCGUCAGCUCGUGUUGUGAAAUGUUGGGUUAAGUCCCGCAACGAGCGCAACCCCUGCCUUUGGUUGCCAUCAUUAAGUUGGGCACUCCAGAGGGACUGCCGUCGUCAAGACGGAGGAAGGUGGGGACGACGUCAAGUCCUCAUGGCCUUUAUAUCCAGGGCGACACACGUGAUACAAUGGUAGGUACAGAGGGAAGCGAAGGGGUGACCUGGAGCAAAUCCCAAAAAGCCUAUCUCAGUUCGGAUUGGAGUCUGCAAUUCGACUCCAUGAAGUUGGAAUCGCUAGUAAUCGCGGAUCAGCACGCCGCGGUGAAUACGUUCCCGGGCCUUGUACACACCGUGUCCGA
rnacentral:rRNA from 1 species